UCCUUCCUUUUUUUUUCUUUUUUUUUUUCGUUUUUUUUUCCAACAUCUUCCUUCAAUAUCAUAAACUCUCCUUCAUCAACAUCUCCUCUUCUUCUUCUCACGACCAACAUGUUCCAUUUCUUCACCUUUGCACAAUUUUUUUUUAAUCUUAUUUAUCACUUUCUCACCUAGAUCUUGACCUCCAUAGAAAAUCUUUUGAAAUAUCACCACCAUAUAAAGAAUCUCCUUCAUCUCCUUUACAAAACCCACAAAGAAAAUUUAAGAUCAGAACACCUUCGUCGGCGGCCACCGUGCCGGUAAACACGGUCACCGUGACCAAAAUAUGUGUUUGGUGUUGUUGUCUUCUCCUCCAUCCUACCGAAAACAUUGUGGGACUUCAUCUUCUCCAGUGUACUUUUACAUCCAAAAACAGCAAGAUCAAAGACAACAAAAGGGGAAAAAAUCAUAUCUGGUUUGAUUUUUUUGUUUUAUCUUUGUAAAUUGUUUUUCUGUCCUCUGUUUGUAGAAGUCAUGCCAAUCUUUUGAAUAUAUUUCCCAUGAUUUCACUACUGUAAUUAUAUAAUUUUUUUUGUUAUUUAUUUGUUUGGAUCUGUGAAAUUUAUAGGAAAAAUAAUGUAUUUAUUUUUUAGUUACCUUCAGAUGUUUCUGUUAUUUUCUUACCUGUGUAGUAAUUUAGUUUUUAUUUUAUUUCUUUGCUUAUCUAAAUAAGUUGAUAUAAUUUUUUUUAAUAUCUUUCUUAAGUUGCAUUUUCUUUCUUUUUCUAUACAAAUAAAAGUUAAAUAAUCAAAACUUAUAAAAUAAAAAAAGUUCAUGAAUGAGAAAGAGUUGAUUUUUUUGUUACAGAUUUUUUUUUCUUCUACAUCUGAAGUUAAAACAAAUUUUCUAGAUCUCAAGCCACUGUCUUCAUUCACUACAUUCACGUGCAUAUCCCUCACCAUCUCUUUCUCAUUUUGCACUUUCAAUAUUUAUACUCCUUGAG
rnacentral:lncRNA from 1 species